GACGGGAGGAGCAAAUUUGGGUNGUGAAAUCCCUCGGCUUAAACNGNGGAACUGGCAACCAAAACNACUUUUUCUUGAGUGCAGGAGAGGAAAGCGGAAUUCNUAGUGUAGCGGUGAAAUGCGUAGAUAUUAGGAGGAACACCAGUGGCGAAGGCGGCUUUCUGGACUGUAACUGACGUUGAGGCACGAAAGUGUGGGGAGCAAACAGGAUUAGAUACCCCUGGUAGUCCACGCCNUAAACGAUGCGAACUGGAUGUUGGGUGCAAUUUGGCACGCAGUGUCGAAGCUAACGCAUUAAGUUCNCCGCCUGGGGAGUACGGUCGCAAGACUGAA
rnacentral:rRNA from 1 species